rnacentral:rRNA from 1 species
UACGUAGGGGGCAAGCGUUGUCCGGAAUCAUUGGGCGUAAAGCGCGUGUAGGCGGCCCGGUAAGUCCGCUGUGAAAGUCCAGGGCUCAACCCUGGGAUGCCGGUGGAUACUGUCGGGCUCGAGUCCGGAAGAGGCGAGUGGAAUUCCUGGUGUAGCGGUGAAAUGCGCAGAUAUCAGGAGGAACACCAAUGGCGAAGGCAGCUCUCUGGGACGGUACUGACGCUGAGACGCGAAAGCGUGGGGAGCGAACAGG